rnacentral:rRNA from 1 species
UUCCAGCUCCAAGAGCGUAUAUUAAUACUGCUGUAGUUAAAACGCCCGUAGUAAACCUAAGAGUGGGUAUGGAGUAGUUAGUCUCACUGACAGAUGGUUGAGAAGAGGUUAUAACUCUUUUUUGUCUACUGAAAGUGAACUUCAGUUGGGCUGGAUCUUAUGGUCCUCGUCCGGCAACUGCUCUGUGCUUACUUGUCCACGGUUCUUCCGUGAGGCCCUUUGGGUUGCAACUGUAAAUAAAUCGUUGUGCUUAAAGCGGGCUAUGAUACUCUGCCAGAGCGAUUUAGCAUGGGACUGCAGAGUAGCUGUAUUUGAGUGAAAGUUGAGUUUCGGCUCGGCUGUAGCUUGGUACAGCGCUUGUAAUGGAGCUCAGGGUGAGGCCCCGGGUACCAUGAGGCUAGAGGUGAAAUUCUGAGACCCUCAUGUGACCAACUAAGGCGAAAGCUGUCGUGGGCCACCACAAGCUCGUCUAUCAGGGACGAAAGUUGGGUGAUCGAAGACGAUUAGAUACCGUCGUAGUCCCAACUAUAAACGAUACCAACCGAGUAUUUGGGAAGACACUAUCCCAGCGAUCUUCUCAGAACUCAAGGGAAACCUUAAGUCUUUGGGUUCUGGGGGGAGUAUAGUCGCAAGACCGAAACUUAAAGGAAUUGACGGAAAGGCACCACCAGGAGUGGAGUCUGCGGCUUAAUUCGACUCAACACGGGGAAACUCACCAGGUCAGGACACAAGUUUGAUUGACAGGUUAAUAGCCCUUUCUUGAUUGUGUGGUGGGUAGUGCAUGGCCGUUUCCAGUUCGUGGAGUGAUCUGUCUUGUUAAUUCAGAUAACGAACGAGACCUAAGCCUUUAACUAGCCGUAGGCCCUUUUCUUCGGAGAAGGGUUAGUUUGUCGGGACUGGCUUUUAGCCUUUUCCAAAACCUACGUGACUUUUGUCAGCUUCUUAAAGGGACUUCAUUCGUUCUUGUAGAAUGAGGAAGAUUUAGGCCAUAACAGGUCUGUGAUGCUCUUAGAUGUCCUGGGCUGCACGCGUACUACAAUAACGGUACCAGCGAGCGCUAUGGUUUUUAACCCCUUAUCCUAAUAGGAUUGGGGAAAACUUUUCAAACACCGUUAUGACAGGGAUCGAGGAUUGGAACAUCCUCGUGAACGAGGAAUUCCUAGUAAGCGUGGUUCAUCAUACCACAUUGAUUACGUCCCUGCCUUU